rnacentral:rRNA from 12 species
AAUGCCGGUAUGAGUAGCGAAAAGAGGGGUGAGAAUCCCCUCCGCCGAAAGCCCAAGGUUUCCUGGGGAAGGCUCGUCCGCCCAGGGUCAGUCGGGACCUAAGGCGAGGCCGAAAGGCGUAGCCGAAGGAGAACAGGUUGACAUUCCUGUACCACCGUAGGCGCUUGAGCGAAGGGGUGACGCAGGAGGACGAGGGAAGCGGCCGGAUGGAAGGGGCCGUCCAAGCAGCGAGCGUGGGGUGUAGUGAAAUGCGCACCCCGAGAAGCGUGAGCUGUGAUGGGGAGGGAAGGAAAGUACCGAAGUCCCGACGUUCACACUGCCGAGAAAAGCCUCUAGCGAGCCGAAGGUGCCCGUACCGGAAACCGACACAGGUGGGCGCGUGGAGAACACGAAGGCGCGCGGGAGAACUCUCGUUAAGGAACUCGGCAAAAUGGCCCCGUAACUUCGGGAGAAGGGGCGCUCUUCCGUUGGGAAGAGCCGCAGUGAAAAGGCCCAAGCGACUGUUUAGCAAAAACACAGGUCUCUGC